rnacentral:rRNA from 1 species
UACGAAGGGGGCAAGCGUUGUUCGGAAUUACUGGGCGUAAAGGGCGCGUAGGCGGCUUAUCAAGUCAGGCGUGAAAUUCCCGGGCUCAACCUGGGGGCUGCGCUUGAUACUGAUGAGCUUGAAUGCGGGGAGAGGAUAGUGGAAUUCCCAGUGUAGAGGUGAAAUUCGUAGAUAUUGGGAAGAACACCGGUGGCGAAGGCGGCUAUCUGGCCCGUAAUUGACGCUGAGGCGCGAAAGCGUGGGGAGCAAACAGG